GACGAACGCUGGCGGCGUGCUUAACACAUGCAAGUCGAACGAAGUGGCGAACGGGUGAGUAACGCGUAAUCAACCUGCCCUUCAGAGGGGGACAACAGUUGGAAACGACUGCUAAUACCGCAUACUGAAGGAGGGUAUUGCGUUUGAUUGGCUGGUUGGAGGGGUAACGGCCCACCAAGGCGAUGAUCAGUAGCCGGGCUGGGAGGAUGAACGGCCACAUUGGGACUGAGACACGGCCCAGACCCCUACGGGAGGCAGCAGUGGGGAAUCGUCCGGAAUGGACGAAAGUCUGACGGAGCAACGCCGCGUGAGUGAUGACGGCCUUCGGGUUGUAAAGCUCUGUUAAUCGGGACGCGGUACCGGAAUAGAAAGCCACGGCUAACUACGUGCCAGCAGCCGCGGUAAUUC
rnacentral:rRNA from 1 species